rnacentral:rRNA from 1 species
CCUACGGGUGGCAGCAGUGGGGAAUAUUGCACAAUGGGCGAAAGCCUGAUGCAGCAACGCCGCGUGAGCGAUGAAGGCCUUCGGGUCGUAAAGCUCUGUCCUCAAGGAAGAUAAUGACGGUACUUGAGGAGGAAGCCCCGGCUAACUACGUGCCAGCAGCCGCGGUAAUACGUAGGGGGCUAGCGUUAUCCGGAUUUACUGGGCGUAAAGGGUGCGCAGGUGGUUUCUUAAGUCAGAGGUGAAAGGCUAGGGCUCAACCGUAGUAAGCCUUUGAAACUGGGAAACUUGAGUGCAGGAGAGGUAGGCGGAAUUCGUGGUGUAGCGGUGAAAUGCUUAGAUAUCAGGAGGAACUCCGAUGGCGAAGGCAGCCUGCUGGACUGUGACUGACGCUGAUGCUCGAAGGUGUGGGGAGCAAACAGGAUUAGAUACCCGGGUAGUC